UACGUAGGGCGCAAGCGUUGUCCGGAAUUAUUGGGCGUAAAGAGCUCGUAGGCGGCUUGUCACGUCGAUUGUGAAAGCCCGAGGCUUAACCUCGGGUCUGCAGUCGAUACGGGCAGGCUGGAGUUCGGUAGGGGAGACUGGAAUUCCUGGUGUAGCGGUGAAAUGCGCAGAUAUCAGGAGGAACACCGGUGGCGAAGGCGGGUCUCUGGGCCGAUACUGACGCUGAGGAGCGAAAGCGUGGGGAGCGAACAGG
rnacentral:rRNA from 1 species